rnacentral:misc_RNA from 1 species
UUCCUCCGCUUAUUGAUAUGCUUAAGUUCAGCGGGUAUCCCUACCUGAUCCGAGGUCAAAAGUUGAAAAAAAGGCUUAGUGGAUGCUAGACCUUUGCUGAUAGAGAGUGCGACUUGUGCUGCGCUCCGAAACCAGUAGGCCGGCUGCCAAUUACUUUAAGGCGAGUCUCCAGCAAAGCUAGAGACAAGACGCCCAACACCAAGCAAAGCUUGAGGGUACAAAUGACGCUCGAACAGGCAUGCCCUUUGGAAUACCAAAGGGCGCAAUGUGCGUUCAAAGAUUCGAUGAUUCACUGAAUUCUGCAAUUCACACUACUUAUCGCAUUUCGCUGCGUUCUUCAUCGAUGCCAGAACCAAGAGAUCCGUUGUUGAAAGUUGUAAUUAUUAAUUUGUUACUGACGCUGAUUGCAAUUACAAAAGGUUUAUGUUUGUCCUAGUGGUGGGCGAACCCACCAAGGAAACAAGAAGUACGCAAAAGACAAGGGUGAAUAAUUCAGCAAGGCUGUAACCCCGAGAGGUUCCAGCCCGCCUUCAUAUUUGU